rnacentral:rRNA from 1 species
AACGAACGCUGGCGGCAUGCCUAACACAUGCAAGUCGUACGAGACCUUCGGGUCUAGUGGCGCACGGGUGCGUAACGCGUGGGAACCUGCCCUUAGGUUCGGAAUAACUCCCCGAAAGGGGUGCUAAUACCGGAUAAUGUCUUCGGACCAAAGAUUUAUCGCCUUUGGAUGGGCCCGCGUUGGAUUAGCUAGUUGGUAGGGUAAAAGCCUACCAAGGCGACGAUCCAUAGCUGGUCUGAGAGGAUGAUCAGCCACACUGGGACUGAGACACGGCCCAGACUCCUACGGGAGGCAGCAGUGGGGAAUAUUGGACAAUGGGCGAAAGCCUGAUCCAGCAAUGCCGCGUGAGUGAUGAAGGCCUUAGGGUUGUAAAGCUCUUUUAACCGGGAUGAUAAUGACAGUACCGGGAGAAUAAGCUCCGGCUAACUCCGUG